rnacentral:rRNA from 1 species
UACGUAGGGUGCAAGCGUUAUCCGGAUUUAUUGGGCGUAAAGGGCUCGUAGGCGGUUCGUCGCGUCCGGUGUGAAAGUCCAUCGCUUAACGGUGGAUCCGCGCCGGGUACGGGCGGGCUUGAGUGCGGUAGGGGAGACUGGAAUUCCCGGUGUAACGGUGGAAUGUGUAGAUAUCGGGAAGAGCACCAAUGGCGAAGGCAGGUCUCUGGGCCGUUACUGACGCUGAGGAGCGAAAGCGUGGGGAGCGAACAGG